rnacentral:rRNA from 1 species
GGAGUCCGCGUUGUAAUUUGUAGAGGAUGAUUCGGAGAGGGCUCCCGCCUAAGUCCCCUGGAACGGGGCGUCAUAGAGGGUGAGAAUCCCGUAUGCGGUGGGUUGCCUUAGCCAUGUGAAUCUCCUUCGACGAGUCGAGUUGUUUGGGAAUGCAGCUCUAAAUGGGAGGUAAAUUUCUUCUAAAGCUAAAUACCGGCCAGAGACCGAUAGCGCACAAGUAGAGUGAUCGAAAGAUGAAAAGCACCUUGGAAAGAGAGUUAAAAAGUACGUGAAAUUGUUGAAAGGGAAGCGCUUGCAGCCAGACUUGUCCGCAGUUGCUCAACCGGUCUCCUGACCGGUGUACUCUUCUGCGGCCAGGCCAGCAUCAGUUCGGGCGGUCGGAUAAAGGCCCUGGGAAUGUAGCUCCUCUCGGGGAGUGUUAUAGCCCAGGGUGGAAUGCGGCCAGCCUGGACUGAGGAUCUCGCUUCGGCUAGGCUGCUGGCGUAAUGGCUGUAAGCGGCCCGUCUUGAAACACGGACCAAGGAGUCUAAC